AACGAACGCUGGCGGCAGGCUUAACACAUGCAAGUCGAACGCCCCGCAAGGGGAGUGGCAGACGGGUGAGUAACGCGUGGGAAUCUACCCAGUUCUACGGAACAACUGAGGGAAACUUCAGCUAAUACCGUAUACGCCCUACGGGGAAAAGAUUUAUCGGAAUUGGAUGAGCCCGCGUUGGAUUAGCUAGUUGGUGAGGUAACGGCUCACCAAGGCGACGAUCCAUAGCUGGUCUGAGAGGAUGAUCAGCCACACUGGGACUGAGACGCGGCCCAGACUCCUACGGGAGGCAGCAGUGGGGAAUAUUGGACAAUGGGCGCAAGCCUGAUCCAGCCAUGCCGCGUGAGUGAUGAAGGCCUUAGGGUUGUAAAGCUCUUUCGGUGGGGACGAUAAUGACGGUACCCACAGAAGAAGCCCCGGCUAACUUCGUGCCAGCCGCCGCAGUAAAAC
rnacentral:rRNA from 1 species